rnacentral:misc_RNA from 1 species
GAUGAAGAACGUAGCGAAAUGCGAUAAGUAAUGUGAAUUGCAGAAUUCAGUGAAUCAUCGAAUCUUUGAACGCACAUUGCGCCCGCCAGUAUUCUGGCGGGCAUGCCUGUCCGAGCGUCAUUUCAACCCUCGAACCCCUCCGGGGGGUCGGCGUUGGGGAUCGGCCCUCCCUUAGCGGGUGGCCGUCUCCGAAAUACAGUGGCGGUCUCGCCGCAGCCUCUCCUGCGCAGUAGUUUGCACACUCGCAUCGGGAGCGCGGCGCGUCCACAGCCGUUAAACACCCAACUUCUGAAAUGUUGACCUCGGAUCAGGUAGGAAUACCCGCUGAACUUAAGCAUAUCAAUAGCGGAGGA